AUUGAACGCUGGCGGCAGGCCUAACACAUGCAAGUCGAACGAGUGGCGGACGGGUGAGUAAUGUCUGGGAAACUGCCUGAUGGAGGGGGAUAACUACUGGAAACGGUAGCUAAUACCGCAUACCAUCGGAUGUGCCCAGAUGGGAUUAGCUAGUAGGUGGGGUAAAGGCUCACCUAGGCGACGAUCCCUAGCUGGUCGGAGAGGAUGGCCAGCCACAAUGGAACUGAGACACGGUUCAGACUCCUGCGGGAGGGAGCAGGGGGGAAUAUUGCACAAUGGGCGGAAGCCUGAUGCAGCCAUGCCGCGUGUAUGAAGAAGGCCUUCGGGUUGUAAAGUACUUUCAGCGGGGAGGCGUUACCCGCAGAAGAAGCACCGGCUAACGCCGGGCCAGCAGCCGCGGUAAUUCC
rnacentral:rRNA from 1 species